rnacentral:rRNA from 1 species
UACGAAGGGGGCUAGCGUUGUUCGGAAUCACUGGGCGUAAAGCGCACGUAGGCGGAUCCUUAAGUCAGGGGUGAAAUCCCGAGGCUCAACCUCGGAACUGCCUUUGAUACUGGGGAUCUUGAGUUCGGGAGAGGAGAGUGGAAUUCCCAGUGUAGAGGUGAAAUUCGUAGAUAUUGGGAAGAACACCGGUGGCGAAGGCGGCUCUCUGGACCGAGACUGACGCUGAGGCGCGAAAGCGUGGGGAGCAAACAGG